rnacentral:lncRNA from 1 species
GCUGGUAUUGAUGGAUGAUAUAGGUCUCACUCUGCUGGUAUUGAUGGAUGGCAUAGGUCUCACACUCUGCUGGUAUUGAUGGAUGGUAUUGGUCUCACACUCUGCUGGUAUUGAUGGAUGGUAUAGGUCUCACACUCUGCUGGUAUUGAUGGAUGGUACAGGUCUCACUCUGCUGGUAUUGAUGGAUGGUAUAGGUCUCACUCUGCUGGUAUUGAUGGAUGGUAUAGGUCUCACACUCUGCUGGUAUUGAUGGAUGGUACAGGUCUCACUCUGCUGGUAUUGAUGGCUGGUAAAGGUCUCACACUCUGCUGGUAUUGAUGGCUGGUAUAGGUCUCACACUCUGCUGGUAUUGAUGGAUGGUAUAGGUCUCACUCUGCUGGUAUUGAUGGAUGGUAUAGGUCUCACACUCUGCUGGUAUUGAUGGUUGGUAUAGGUCUCACUCUGCUGGUAUUGAUGGAUGGUAUAGGUCUCACUCUGCUGGUAUUGAUGGAUGGUAUAGGUCUCACUCUGCUGGUAUUGAUGGAUGGUAUAGGUCUCACUCUGCUGGUAUUGAUGGCUGGUAUAGGUCUCACUCUGCUGGUAUUGAUGGAUGGUAUAGGUCUCACUCUGCUGGUAUUGAUGGCUGGUAUAGGUCUCACACUCUGCUGGUAUUGAUGGAUGGUAUAGGUCUCACUCUGCUGGUAUUGAUGGAUGGUAUAGGUCUCACACUCUGCUGGUAUUGAUGGCUGGUAUAGGUCUCACUCUGCUGGUAUUGAUGGAUGGUAUAGGUCUCACUCUGCUGGUAUUGAUGGAUGGUAUAGGUCUCACUCUGCUGGUAUUGAUGGAUGGUAUAGGUCUCACACUCUGCUGGUAUUGAUGGCUGGUAUAGGUCUCACUCUGCUGGUAUUGAUGGCUGUGUAGGUACUGAAGUCAGAGUUCUGGACUCUCUUCUUCUUCUUCUUUGGUCUCCUCUGUCCCUGACGGAUAUCCAACGAGGCGUAAAACAG